CAGGGGGUGACAUAUCACACAACGUGUAAAAUGAUUCUUAAAAUGAUUUUUUUUACUGUAAAAUAAUGAUAUGACUCCAAAGUACUUAGCAUUCUACUGCUACUAGUGUUUUGUCCGAGUUCACCUUUGUGGAGUUCGAGUCGAGACCAAGUCUUUAACCAAUUGAGUCUGAGUUGGACUCAAGUCCGAGUCCUUAACAGUUGAGUCCAAAUCGGGUCCUGUGCUGAGCUGAGCUGUUAAAUUAACAUUUUAACCAAUGGCAACAUAAAUGUAACAGAAGAUACCACUAAUACAUCUUGGCAUUGCCAUUUAAAAUUUUGAUUUCACGUCAUCAGCACCUCAACUAGUUUCUAUCAAAAAAUGGUUUCAAAGAAAAAAGCAUGUAGAGGUAUAUGUAGAACUUUUAUUACAUCACAAGUGUAUGAGAAUACAAAUGAAGCUGUUUUGUUAUUGUAUCACAUUACACUGUGUCCUCCAGAUCGAGUUGACAUUUCAGUGAUUUGCUGCGUCUCCCCCGCAGUUAUAUAGUCUGAGAGAGAGAGAGAGAGCGAGAGAGAGAGAGAGAGUUACAUUUAGCAGCAGGUCAUAACAACAAGCUUCAUGCUUUAUUACUGCUUUUAAUCUGUCUAUGAAUCACAACAAACUCAUCAGGGUUUAUGAUAUUUACUUCAUUAAGAAGUACAUUUCAUAUUUGACAUGAAAUUCAAGACUGGAAUCACUAAACGCAAAUUACAGUACAGACUCUCCCAUGUUGGGAAAAUGACUGACCAUCACAAAGCACCGUCACCCGAGACUCCUUAUUGAAGGCUUCACAAUAUCAGUGAUUAGACGUUUUUGUCAAAUAACACCACAUUUAUUUAAAAAAAAAAACAAAAAAAAAAAAACACCCACAACGUUUAGUAUUAGUCUUGGAUUAUGUGUUUCUAUAGAAUGUGUUACCAUAGAAACGAUAACGCAUUAGAACGAGUGCUUUGUAGCUGCUUGGUCACAUUUGAGAAUUCGACAGCACUGUGGUACAAGAUAUAUUUUCCCGAGUGACAGAAAACAAACCCAGCACUCUGCGUAAGUAAAUCGAUCAUUUAUUGUAAUUCACCGAACAAUAUUCUGUUUAGAAAAGAAAUAAAUACAUAAAUAAAAACAGCCAGCAUUACGGGUGAUGAAGAAGAGCGAAAUCGAAAAGGCCAAGUACCAAAUGAACCAGCCACUUGGUUUGCAGCAGCUAAUAAUAACAAUGAACACUUAAUCUGCCAGAAAAAGAACAAUCACCAGUGAGCAUCGACUACUUUAUAUUUGUACUCAACCAAAGACAAGUCUACAUGGCUAAAGACAGAAGCAGUUUAUUUUUCAAGUAUUAAGUUACCCCCUCAGUGUCAAUGUGACCUGUCUGGAUCAGGAUAUGGUAAUGAUGAGGUGGUGCAUCGUAUACAAAACACCCACACAGAGUACAUAUCUAUCUGCCUAUCCUGGCCAACACUACACACACACACACGCACACACACACGCACGCGCACACACAACAGAAUCACCUGAAAGCAAAAGCCCACAGUUUCAGCUUAUUGCUCAUUUACAUUCACCUCGGAAUUCCUUAACCCUUUAGUGACUAGAACCGUCUUUGAUGUGUAAAGUAUAAAGUUCAAAUCCACUCUAGUAAGCCUACAUGUAACACCUAGCACAAUCACAGGGACGAUAAUAUAUGCGAUCGGUGGUUAUUGAUUGUUUUGCUUCUUGGUUUCAAGUAAGCCCUGAACUAAGCCGUAGUGCUAAGCCCUUCUAAUAAUAAGAGUUUGAUUCAACCAUUAAAUGUUUACACAGAAUUACAGGACUAGCUAGAUGAGCUACAGUGUUCCCUGGCACUACAUAAAAAAUAAAUGGUGCCGUCGUGCUCUCGUAACAUACAGCGGAGAAGCGACUGCAUUGAUGUACCUGAUGUUUUAUAUUAGGGCUGGUGUCAAAGGAAGCUGCUGUUUCGUCUACAGCACGCACGGAUCCUGCCACACGCUGCGUGUUCGAGUCGUAAACGUCGUUUUUUUAUUUUUAUUAUUUUUUUUAGAGACGCUAGUUUAAUCACGAUGCACGUGGAGCGAUCGUAAUUACUCUCAAACGCCGAUUCAGCUACGAAAAAGCAAAGUCAGCUACGAGUUUGUGGUGGUUUGUUAGCAGCGUUUCGAUGUAGCACUGUUAAAAGCUGCAGAAAUCGUUUGUACUUAGAACUAGAAGGAAAUAGAAAUCAAGGGAAAUAUUAGGAAUUAGUUAUGCCUAGGUGUAGCUUCCCCCACCACCUCUUUUUUUUUUCUUACAAACUUUACAACCAGAGAAUAU
ensembl:lncRNA